GGAAUUUUGGACAAUGGGCGAAAGCCUGAUCCAGCCAUGCCGCGUGCAGGAUGAAGGCCUUCGGGUUGUAAACUGCUUUUGUACGGAACGAAAAGUCUCUUUCUAAUAAAGAGGGAUCAUGACGGUACCGUAAGAAUAAGCACCGGCUAACUACGUGCCAGCAGCCGCGGUAAUACGUAGGGUGCAAGCGUUAAUCGGAAUUACUGGGCGUAAAGCGUGCGCAGGCGGUUAUGUAAGACAGUUGUGAAAUCCCCGGGCUCAACCUGGGAACUGCAUCUGUGACUGCAUAGCUAGAGUACGGUAGAGGGGGAUGGAGUUCCGCGUGUAGCAGUGAAAUGCGUAGAUAUGCGGAGGAACACCGAUGGCGAAGGCAAUCCCCUGGACCUGUACUGACGCUCAUGCACGAAAGCGUGGGGAGCAAACAGGAUUAGAUACCCGGG
rnacentral:rRNA from 1 species